UUCUAAAAUUACAUCAUAUAAUUACAACAAUAUGAUGGAUUUUUUUAAACAUUUUUGAAACAAAAAAAAAAAAAAGAUCACUUAGGAGUGUUUUGAGUGAAUUAAAUAAAAUAUUAAAAAGGGUAAAGGAGUGGAGGAUGUGGUCCGAGGGCAGAGAUCAGGUGGUAAAGUACAGGUGUCAAAAGUUGAUUGAAGAAAGGAAGAAAAGCCACGUGGGGAGGAGGGUUUGGAUCACGUGGGCAAAGCGAACAACUUCUGUCCUAAAACUGUACCAUAAUUAAUUAAAUUAAAUUAAAUUAAAUAAAUAAAUCUAACUUCUUCUUCCCCCCACUUCACAUCCUUAUCUCUUCUUCUAAGCCCUAAUUCCACAUUUCCUUUUUCCCUUUCCCCAUACAACCAUAUAAUAUUGCAUUCUCCAAAUUCAAAAACUUUAUUUUAUAUAUAUAUAUAUAUAUAUAUAUAUAUAUAAACAAUCAUAUACCAAUUCUUUCAUAUUUAAUAUUUAUAUUCAGCUUACAAGAAAUCGAAGAAAGAAAGAAAAAAAAUAUAUAUAUGGCCAUAUUGUUAGCCUUCACCUGCAUUUGCACCUACACCUUCAUCUUUGAUUUCUUCUAAACAAGGCCAUUGAGGUGCAGGUGCUUCUGCAAGUGAAUGCCAUCUUGGCUUUCUCUCCUCCUCCUCCUCCACUGCCACCGCCAUCGUCUCCGGCUUUUUCCUCCUCCUUCUUUUAAAGAGUGUUCUUCACUGUCCGAUGAAAUGCAGAGGUAUAAGAAAAGGGGCCAUUGAUGUAAUUUGGUAUCCUAAGUUUAUUAGAAUAUAGAUCAAGGCACCUAUUACUGUUUUGUCCCCGUAUAAUUUUGUAUAUUUGUGACAAUAAUAAAGUUUUGUUUUCUAGAGAAUGUAUUUUGGUUACCAUAAUUAUUGAAAUUUGGAAGUUGAUCUAUGUUCCAUUUUGGUUAAA